GUGAAAAACUGAGAUCCUUGUCCCAGAGAGGAAGUUAGUGAAUAAGUGAUUCAUCUCUGAUAGACAAGAGUUGGAGGAGCUCUUUUCCACCAUGGUGUACGCAAAGAGUAACCAAAAUAGCCAAUCAUACAACAUCUGGGAGACAAAAGACAUAC